rnacentral:rRNA from 1 species
AUUGAACGCUGGCGGCAUGCUUUACACAUGCAAGUCGAACGGCAGCGGGGAGGAGCUUGCUUCUCUGCCGGCGAGUGGCGCACGGGUGAGUAAUACAUCGGAACGUGUCGAGAAGAGGGGGAUAACAACCCGAAAGGGUGGCUAAUACCGCAUAAAUUCUGAGGAAGAAAGCUGGGGGCCUGGGAAUAGGCCUAGCGCUUUUUGAGCGGCCGAUGUCGGAUUAGCUAGUUGGUGAGGUAAAGGCUCACCAAGGCGAAGAUCUGUAGCGGGUCUGAGAGGAUGAUCCGCCACACUGGGACUGAGACACGGCCCAGACUCCUACGGGAGGCAGCAGUGGGGAAUUUUGGACAAAGGGGGCAACCCUGAUCCAGCCAUGCCGCGUGUAUGAAGAAGGCCUUAUGGUUGUAAAGUACUUUUGUUAGGGAAGAAAAGUCAGCUGUGAAUAAUGGCUGAUACUGACGGUACCUAAAGAAUAAGCACCGGCUAACUACGUG